GGGACACGGGACACGGGACACGGGACACGGGACACGGGACACGGGACACGGGACACGGGACACGGGACACGGGACACGGGACACGGGACACGGGACACGGGACACGGGACACGGAACACGGAACACGGGACACGGCACGGGGCACGGGAUACGGGAUAUGGGAUACGGGGAUACCGGGACACGGGGACAUAGGGACACGGGGACACGGGACACGGGACACGGGACACCGCACGGGGCACGGGAUACGGGAUACGGGAUACGGGAUACGGAACACGGGACACGGGACACGGGAUAUGGGACAUGGGGAUACCGGGACGCGGGGACAUAGGGACACGGGGAUACCGGGAUACGGGAUACGGGAUACGGGAUACGGGAUACAGGAUACGGGAUACGGGAUACGGGAUAUGGGACACGGGACACGGGACACGGCACGGGACACGGGAGACACCGCACGGGGCACGGGAUACGGGAUACGGGAUACGGGAUACGGAACACGGGACACGGGACACGGGAUAUGGGACAUGGGGAUACCGGGACGCGGGGACAUAGGGACACGGGGAUACCGGGAUACGGGAUACGGGAUACGGGAUACGGGAUACAGGAUACGGGAUACGGGAUACGGGAUAUGGGACACGGGACACGGGACACGGCACGGGACACGGGAUACGGGGAUACCGGGAUACGAGACACGGGACACGGGAUAUGGGACACGGCACGGGACACGGGAUAUGGGACAUGGGACACGGGGAUACCGGGAUACGGGACACGGGGAUACCGGGAUACAGGACAUGGGACACGGGGAUACAGGGACACGGGGAUACCGGGACACGGGGACAUAGGGAUACGGGGACAUAAGGACACGGGGAUACGGGAUACGGGGAUACCGGGACACGGGGACCUGGGGACACGGGACACGGGGAUACCGGGACACGGGGAUACAGGAUACGGGGACAUAGGGACACGGAGAUACGGGACACGGGGACAUAGGGACACGGGGAUACCGGGAUGCGGGGAUACCGAGAUACGGGGACAUAGGGACACGGGACACGGGGCACGGGACGGGAACGGGGCAGGGCCCGGGGAAUGGCAGGGACACGGCUCUGGCACAGGACAGACACGGCCCCGGGGGAUCCGCGCUGCCCCCGCCCCGGGGCUGCGUGUGCGGGGCUGCAGGAGGGGCAGAGCCUGCGGGGCCGUGAGCGGGUGGAGCUGGUUAGAGCAGAAAAUCCAGGGAAAUCGGAGCUGGGGCAACACGGAGGAGGAGGAUGGUCCGUGGGGAUGAGCCGGUCCCUGGAGCAGCCCCAUGGUGCUGCAGAGCACAUUAAUCCGGGAAGCAGUGGCCAGGCAGGCUGAGCCCUCCUCCUGGCACGGAGCAGGGGGUGCCGCAUCCCCUCCCGGGGGG
rnacentral:lncRNA from 1 species